AUGGAUCCUCUAAGGAUGGCCGAGCUUCUCCGGCGCAAGGUGGCCGGAGAGCCAUUCCCCUACACCUUCAUCCACGAGGUGAGCCCCUACUCCGCUGCCCCCGAGGACCUCGUCCGUGGCCGGGAGCACGCUCCGGGCACCGGCCAAGCUGGCGACGGCAGAGGGAUGGCGUGGUACUUCUGCAGCGCCGCCAACUGCCAUGAGAGCGCGGGUGGAGCUCCAAGGCGGAACCGCCAGGUCGGCGGCGGCACAGAGAGGAGAUUCUGGCACCCGGAAGGGCGCAAGAAGUCCAUUCCAGGUGAGGCGUACAAGCGCACACUGUCGUACGUUUUGAAGAUGAAGAACCGCCCUGGUGCUUCAAAAUCAUUCCGAAACAAAAGGUUGGGCUGGUGCAUGCUGGAGGUUGGGCUCGAGCAGCAGGACGGCGGCGCCGGCCACCAAGAUCAGUUCGUGCUCUGCAAGGUGUACAGGUCGCCUCACAGUACGGCGGAUGCGCCAGAAACAUCCACGGCCGCCGCCGGCGCAGUGGACGUCGUUCCGGCAUAUCAGCUGGAGUUGAAGACUGGAUGCAGCAUGUCUCCACGCAGGGGCCGCUGGGCUGCACGCUUCCAGAGGAGCCGCUGCACGCCGACAUGGCGCACAUAUGGCCUCGCGCGGAUGCGGAGACCAUCGUGCGCGGCGGCGGCAUGUAAAGUUUCAGAAGCGUUUCUACCUACCGUAGUAGGCCGCUGGUUGCGUGUUUAUAUAGGAUCAGAAUAG
rnacentral:rRNA from 1 species